rnacentral:rRNA from 1 species
ACCAAAAAAAGUAUUGAGGUGAUGCCUGCCCGGUGGCUCACGUAGCUCAACGGCCGCGGUAUCCUAACCGUGCAAAGGUAGCGCAAUCAAUUGUCCCGUAAAUCGAGACUAGUAUGAAUGGCUAAACGAGGUCUUAACUGUCUCUUACAGGCAAUCGGUGAAAUUGAUCUCCCUGUACAAAAGCAGGGAUAAACCCAUAAGACGAGAAGACCCUGUGGAACUUCAAAACCAGCAACCACCUUAAAUCACAUACUCACCUACCGGGCUUACUGUCACACAAGAUCCUGGUCUGCGUUUUUCGGUUGGGGCGACCUUGGAGCAAAACAGAACCUCCAAAAAUUGGACCAUACCUCUAGACCAAGAGCAACCUCUCAACGUGCUAAUAGCAUCCAGACCCAAUACAAUUGAUCAAUGGACCAAGCUACCCCAGGGAUAACAGCGCAAUCUCCUCCGAGAGUCCGUAUCGACGAGGAGGUUUACGACCUCGAUGUUGGAUCAGGACAUCCUAGUGGUGCAGCCGCUACUAAGGGUUCGUUUGUUCAACGAUUAACAGUCCUACGUGAUCUGAGUUCCCAAACCGGA